rnacentral:lncRNA from 1 species
AAAAAAAAAAAAAAAAAAAAUGAGAACAAAGGCGGCAUAUAGAUUAAAGAAUAAUUGGGUGCUAAAUUAUUGAAAUAAGUAAUUGGGCGUAAAGAAUAAAGAAUGUUAAAAGAAUGUAGAAAUUGUUGUCCAAAAAUACAAAUGAGUACAAAAUGAAUACCAAACUUUCCACCCCAUAUAUAACCGUUUUAAAACUUUUGGUUUUUGUUCUGUUGUUGCUUUAUCAACCGAAAACUCCAUUGAUUCAACUUCGACCUAUCAUGUGAGAAAGAUGGUCUUCAUUAUACUGGUCUAGGUCUAUUCAAAUCAGCAAGUUAAUUUGUAAAUUUUUACAGAAGAUAUGUUCACUUCCUUUCACUACCCUUAGAGAACCUAAAUAUACUGAUUAUACGCCAAGGUAUCUUUACAUUGUCCCUUCUCCCUUCUCCCUGCAGACUAAAGAUACUGAUUAUACGCCAAGGUAUCUUUACACUGUCCCUUCUCCCUGCAGACUAAAUAUACUGAUUAUACGCCAAGGUAUCUUUACAUUGUCUCCCCGCAGACUAAUCCUUUACAAAUAUUGUUCUCAACCCCUAUUGUUUUCUUUGUAUAAUCUUCGUUAAGUAAAUCACUCUUCAUACAAACAGUUAGAAUCUACCAAGUACUUACACUUAACCUAAAAACCGCGUAAUAUAACGACUCUUUUCGUUAUCUCAUAUAAGAUACUCUUUAAAAGUUUUGUAUCUGUACACGUUUUACAGAAACCGCAAGUGUGUACAUAACCUCAAAGUCUGUCAACCACCCUGCAAUGAUCCCGUAGUAGUGUGUUUCAAUAGUUUAAACAGAAAGUAUAUGGGUAGAUCCUAUAUAUGUUGGGUCAAGCUUAAGUUAAAAUAUGUGUUUACUGCUUCUCCACAAAGCAUGCACUCGGCAUUUAGAAUUUGAAACACUGAAAACUGAUCGACUUAAAGCCACAACAAUUUGUCUGUUUGAGUAAAAUAUCUAUUUGUAUUUUUUAUCUUUGUAAGGCAUCAUAUAAAGAAUCCAACAUUGUUGUUUUUUUGCAAUGCAGAGUUUAUAUAUUCGAACUACACAGUGCCUGUGAAAAAAGGCGGAGUGCGACUUAUAAAAAGUAUCUAAAGUCCGUCUGAGUUAUAUACAUCUUUAAAAACUAAUAACUUAAAGUUUUUGGUUGCUUUAUUGUAAGCAAUCUUUGCUUUUUUUCUGUGCCAAUUAUAAGAAAAAAACACCAUAUAAAUCUCUUUUUUGAAGACCCAAAGAACUCGAACACAUUUUUGUCUUAAAGCUCUAUCUACUAAUACG